GCAAGAUUAAGACUCAAAGGAAUAGACGGGGACCCGCACAAGUGGUGGAGCAUGUGGUUUAAUUCGAAGAUACGCGAAGAACCUUACCUAGCCUUGACAUAUUUUAGAACUCCGUAGAGAUACAGAGGUGCCUUCGGGAGCUAAUUUACAGGUGCUGCACGGCUGUCGUCAGCUCGUGUCGUGAGAUGUUGGGUUAAGUCCCGCAACGAGCGCAACCCUCGUCACUAGUUACUAACGGUUCGGCCGAGGACUCUAGUGAGACUGCCUUCGUAAGGAGGAGGAAGGUGAGGACGACGUCAAGUCAUCAUGGCCCUUACGGCUAGGGCAACACACGUGCUACAAUGGCCAGGACAGUGAGACGCGAUACCGCGAGGUGGAGCAAAUCUAUAAACCUGGUCUCAGUUCGGAUUGUAGUCUGCAACUCGACUACAUGAAGCUGGAAUCACUAGUAAUCGUAGAUCAGCUAUGCUACGGUGAAUACGUUCCCGGGUCUUGUACUCACCGCCCGUCACACCAUGGGAGUUGAUUUCACCCGAAGCGGGGAAGCUAAACUGGCUACCCUCCACGGUGGAAUUAGCGACUGGGGUGAAGUCGUAACAAGGUA
rnacentral:rRNA from 1 species